rnacentral:rRNA from 1 species
AUACGGAGGAUGCAAGCGUUAUCCGGAUUUAUUGGGUUUAAAGGGUGCGUAGGCGGUUUGCUAAGCGGGAGGUGAAAUGCCGGCGCUCAACGUCGGAAGUGCUUCCCGAACUGGUGGACUUGAAUGACUCUGCCGUGGGAGGAAUGUGUAGUGUAGCGGUGAAAUGCUUAGAGAUUACACAGAACACCGAUUGCGAAGGCAUCUCACGAAGGGUUGAUUGACGCUGAGGCACGAAAGCGUGGGGAUCAAACAGGAUUAGAUACCCUGGUAGUCCACGCAGUAAACGAUGAUGGCUAACCGCUGGGCUUAUCAGUUCAGUGGCCAAGCGAAAGCGAUAAGCCAUCCACCUGGGGAGUACGACCGCAAGGUUGAAACUCAAAUGAAUUGGCGGGG